UACGGGGGGGGUAAGCGUUGUUCGGAAUUACUGGGCGUAAAGGGCUCGUAGGCGGCCAACUAAGUCGGACGUGAAAUCCCUCAGCUUAACUGGGGAACUGCGUCCGAUACUGGAUGGCUUGGAUUUGGGAGAGGGAUGCGGAAUUCCAGGUGUAGCGGUGAAAUUCGUAGAUAUUCGCAAGAACACCAGUGGCGAAGGCGGCUCACUGGCCCGAUACUGACGCUGAGGCACGAAAGCGUGGGGAGCAAACAGG
rnacentral:rRNA from 1 species